GCAUUGUUUACUGUUGAACGACCAACGAACAGUAAUCUCAGAACUUCUCUAUGGAAUAUAUUUUUUUAAACAUUUGUUUUUCCUUUUUUUUGUCAUCAAGCCGGUGUGGUGUUCUGUGCCUGGCUGUGCUAAUUACAAGCAAGUGCAAAAAUUAGUUAUCUUUCACCGUUCUACCUACCAGAGAUUCACCCCGAUUCUGCCAGUGGCUUGUGGCUAUCAAGAAUGAUGCAGUGACCAAAGAUUAUCAGAGGGAUUUUCAGGCUGAACUGAUGGGGAAUCUAUUUUGACGACAGCUGAGAAGUGAUGCGAUACCAUAGAUUUUUUUCCUUCACAACAAAACUGAAGAUUCUCAAUUAGAGGUGGUACAGAAUCUGAUUCCACCAACAUGUUCUUCCAACCCCUAGCUCUGCACAAGGUGAAGGUUAUCUGGAGUCAUUCCACAAUGCCCUGCUGAAAACUACCCCAAAGCGGUGGAAUUUUGGGUACACAAGCAUGAGGGAGCGAACACACCUUGCGGUUAUAGAGCACAACAAGAUUGUGGGACAGAAACCAGCAAGGGACACU